rnacentral:rRNA from 1 species
AUGCCCUCCUCCGUCACGAAAGAGGACGUGCUAAAGCUGAGAGACGGCAGGUACUUAACCUAUGAGAUUUCACAUAGGCUGCCUGCCCGAGGGCAAGUUAUUCCUACUCCCGAGCUUGGCGAGAGCGUCGUGUUCAUGUCUCACCUCCGUCGGGGUUUAGGCUUCCCGACGGAUCCCUUCGUGAGGGGGCUCAUGUUUUACUAUGGGCUGGAAUUCCACGACUUGGCUCCGGAGUCCAUCCUCUACAUCUCAUCAUUCAUUGUCGUCUGCGAAGCCUUCCUCCACACUACCCCUCACUUCGGCUUGUGGCUCAAAACCUUCAACGUGGAGCCGAAGAUGAUUGAGGGGCGUCAGGCAGAGUGUGGCGGGGCGGUUAUAAGCAAGAGGGCCGAUGCUCCAUGGCCCGAAGGCUCUUUUCAGGAGGAGCUCGGCUUGUGGCAACAGGAGUGGUUCUAUAUCACUGCUCCCAGGGGCAGCAGGUAG